AGCAGCCGCGGUAAUUCCAGCUCCAAUAGCGUAUAUUAAAGUUGUUGCAGUUAAAAAGCUCGUAGUUGAAUUUCGGGAUCAAUAUAUCGGUCGUGCCUUGGUACGUACUGGUAUCAUUGGUUUCUCCUUUCUGACGAACCAUGAUGUCAUUAAUUUGGUGUUAUGGGAAGUUAGGACUGUUACUUUGAAAAAUUAGAGUGUUUAAAGCAGGCUUUAGCUUGAAUACAUUAGCAUGGAAUAAUGAAAUAGGACGUUCGAACCUAUUUUGUUGGUUUCUAGGAUCAACGUAAUGAUUAAUAGGGAUAGUUGGGGGCAUUAGUAUUCAAUUGUCAGAGGUGAAAUUCUUGGAUUUAUUGAAGACUAACUACUGCGAAAGCAUUUGCCAAGGAUGUUUCAUUAAUCAAGAACGAAAGUUAGGGGAUCGAAGACGAUCAGAUACCGUCGUAGUCU
rnacentral:rRNA from 1 species